GGCCCGUUGGUCAAGUGGUCUAAGACACCGCCCUUUCACGGCGGUAACACGAGUUCGAAUCUCGUACGGGUCACCA
rnacentral:tRNA from 1 species